AAACUUGUAUAAAUUUACACAUGUUGGCCUUUUUCUAACUUAUAGAUAUUCUAUAUUCACACUAUUUUUUUCCUUGCGUUAUUGAAAUUGUUGGUCAUAUUUUAUAAACUGGAUGGCAUCUACCCACCUAUCUGAUUUAUGUUCACAACUAACUAUGAUCCUUUUGAAUUGGUACAAGCAUUCUUUGGUGCAUGUGGGUCUUAGUUGGUUCCAGUGCAAUUCGUUGGUGGAUGUGUGCCCCAGAAUGACGUGGAGUUUUAUUUCCAUUAGUCUGUAUUCAGAAUGCAAUGGAUGCACGAGUUUUUAGUUGGUUCUAGGACUAUCUUGUGCAUAAGUUUAGACCUGUCGGAUAUCUGUGGAGGAUUGCAAGUUAGUGAAGAGAAAUACAAACUGUUGCAACUUGCAAGUUUAGUGACAUGUUAUGGAAUAAUGUGAUUAGGAUAAAUCUUUAAGCAUAAAAUUACAUAUCAAAGUGGCAAUGAUUAAGUUAGGCUGGGAAAUUUUUGCAUGAGUGAGUGUUCUAAAAAGCUUCUUUGCUUAGUGAUAGAGUUCAUGGUAGAUUGCCAACUUUUGUGAGUUGUUUUGUAGCCUUAUGAGAGAGGGUGUUUUGUAUUUGCAGUCGUAUUGUGGUUUUGGGUGGAUAAAAACCAUCUGCCUGGUUUUGGCACUUGUUUGUACUGAUUUAGGGUCUAUUCUAUGAGACUUAAUCUCUACACUGCACAGAUGCAUGGA
rnacentral:misc_RNA from 1 species